GACAACCCCACUGCCAUGAGCAGCUAAUCAAACAGGAUGUUUAUUUCAGAUUCAUGAGCUCACUUUGAACUGGAAGAGACUUUAGCACUGGUCCAUGUGACAUCUGCUUGUGUCAAUGACAGAUGAAAAAUGACAGAAGAGAUAC